AUUGAACGCUGGCGGCAGGCCUAACACAUGCAAGUCGAGCGGAUGAAGGGAGCUUGCUCCUGGAUUCAGCGGCGGACGGGUGAGUAAUGCCUAGGAAUCUGCCUGGUAGUGGGGGAUAACGUCCGGAAACGGGCGCUAAUACCGCAUACGUCCUGAGGGAGAAAGUGGGGGAUCUUCGGACCUCACGCUAUCAGAUGAGCCUAGGUCGGAUUAGCUAGUUGGUGGGGUAAAGGCCUACCAAGGCCACGAUCCGUAACUGGUCUGAGAGGAUGAUCAGUCACACUGGAACGGAGACACGGUCCAGACUCCUACGGGAGGCAGCAGUGGGGAAUGUUAGACAAUGGGCGAAAGCCUGAUCCAGCCAUGCCGCGUGUGUGAAGAAGGUCUUCGGAUUGUAAAGCACUUUAAGUUGGGAGAAAGGGCAGUAAGUUAAUACCUUGCUGUUUUGACGUUACCAACAGAAUAAGCACCGGCUAACUUCGUG
rnacentral:rRNA from 1 species